AACACACACAUGCACAAAUGCGCACGCACAGAGGCCCAGCCGGGAUUACUGUCAGAAUGUUAAAGAUGGGGUGGAGGAGUGUAAUCUGAUACAGGACAGCUGGUCACCUCAUCAUCCUCCGGUCCAAGCUACGGAGCUUUGGAGACAGGGCUUUCUCUAGGGCUGCUCCAAGGCUUUGGAACUCACUUCCACAAUCAAACCGUACCCCUAGCCCCUGCCCUUUCCUUUUGUCCAGUAUCAUGCUUGGGUCCUUUUCUUUAAGUUUGUCUGUGUAUUGCCCAUACCCUCUCCUCGGAUGUUGUUUGUUUUGUACCAGAUGUAAUGCAUGUUCCACCCAUCUUCAUCCGCUUCAUCCGGGGCCGGGUCGCGGGGGCAGCAGUCUAAGCAGAGAUGCCCAGACUUCCCUCUC